rnacentral:rRNA from 1 species
GACGAACGCUGGCGGCGUGCUUAACACAUGCAAGUCGAACGGAAAGGCCCUGCUUUUGUGGGGUGCUCGAGUGGCGAACGGGUGAGUAACACGUGAGUAACCUGCCCUUGACUUUGGGAUAACUUCAGGAAACUGGGGCUAAUACCGGAUAGGAGCCCCUGCUGCAUGGUGGGGGUUGGAAAGUUUCGGCGGUUGGGGAUGGACUCGCGGCUUAUCAGCUUGUUGGUGGGGUAGUGGCUUACCAAGGCUUUGACGGGUAGCCGGCCUGAGCGGGUGACCGGCCACAUUGGGACUGAGAUACGGCCCAGACUCGUACGGGAGGCAGCAGUGGGGAAUAUUGCACAAUGGGCGGAAGCCUGAUGCAGCAACGCCGCGUGCGGGAUGACGGCCUUCGGGUUGUAAACCGCUUUCGCCUGUGACGAAGCGUGAGUGACGGUAAUGGGUAAAGAAGCACCGGCUAACUACGUG